rnacentral:lncRNA from 1 species
UCAUAAUCUUAUAUUAAAUAUGUCUAUACAACAUGUGAAAAUAAUUACAUGAUUAAAUAAUAAACAUGUCACAAGUUAUACAGAUACACGAUAAUAUAAUUAAUUAAUAAUAUCUUAAAUGAUUUAAGCGAGUUUGAUAGAGUUUUAUAUCGAUACAAUUAAUACACAAUUAGUUUAAAUCUAAACUUGCUUAAACUUAUGUGGUGUCUUCUACAAAGUUGUCACCUAUUCCCUGGAAAAGAAACCCACUUAAGACAAUUGAAACUUACUAGCCUCCCCAAUCUGCUGGAUAAUAGUAAUAGGAGAGUUUUGCUGCAAACUUUCUGUCUAAAGAAUCAAUAUUUUUCCUCGUUUUCCGGCAAACCAACCACUUUUGUCAACCUCAAAAUGCAUAUACAGAGCCGAAAUCCAACGCCCCAAAAGGAUAAGAGAAUUCAAAACCUAGAAUCUUAGAUUGAGAAAUCCUGCCAUCCUCACGUGGACCGGCUUUGUGCUUAACACCCGACUGUUGGCUUGCCUCCUCCUUGCUUCAAUCAUUUUAAUGCCAUCCCAUUUAUCUGAACUCAUCACAGAUACCGAACAUUGUUUAAAUUGAAUACGUUGAAUUUACCGUUGGAUUUGUCUCUGCGGGCGGCAGCAACCGUCCAUUUCCUCAUAGCUCGACACGUGUCUGUUCGAUGAAGAUGGGAUACUCAACCUUCACAUGCUCAUCACGUGGGGAAUGACGAACCGCACACUUUGCUUAUGGUCUGGAUCAGG